rnacentral:rRNA from 1 species
GACGAACGCUGGCGGCGUGCUUAACACAUGCAAGUCGAACGGUAACACGCCUUCCUUUUUGGCGGGUGUGGAUGGGUGGCGAACCGGUGAGUAACACGUGCGUAACCUGCCCCCUUCUUCUGGAUAACCGCAUGAAACUGUCGCUAAUACGGCAUACUCCGUAUCUGUCGCAUCAUGGGUCCUGCGGAGCUAUUGUGUCGGUGUGAGCUGGGGUCGCGGUCUCUCAGCUUGUUGGUGGGGUGAUGGCCUACCAAGGCGGUGACGGUUGGCCGGGGUGAGGGGGUGGACGGACACAGUGGGACUGAGACGCGGCACAGACUUCUACGGGACGCAGCAGUGGGGAAUAUGGCAAAAGGCGCGCAAGCGUGAUGCAGAGACGGCGCGGGAGGGAUGGAGGCCUGCGGGUUGUGAACCUCUUUCGGGAGUGAAGCAGGCCUGCCUCGUGUGUGGGUGGGUUGACGGUAGCUGGAUAAGAAGCCACGGCUAAAUACGUG